rnacentral:tRNA from 1 species
CGGGCUGUAGCGCAGCUUGGUUAGCGCACCUGACUGGGGGUCAGGGGGUCGGAGGUUCAAAUCCUCUCAGCCCGACCA